rnacentral:tRNA from 1 species
GGUGGAUUAAGUGGUUAAGUGCUCGGCUGCUAAACAAGAGGCUGGUGGUUUGAACCCACCAACCACUU